GGAGAUGCUAUUCAUGAAUCCAAUGAAAUAAUUUGUCUAGAAGAACUGGCUUUGCCUUGAGGAUAUUCCUUGAGAGGGAGGAAGGCCCUCUGGAUGAGAAGUAUGCGAUAGUAGGUGCUGGCUUAUAUUGUGACACCACUGUGCUAGUUACAGGUAAAGACUGCACCAAGAUAAUAGCAUGUCUUACUUGGUCGAGUUAAGGUACGAAAGGAUCCCGGGCGCAUCCUUCGAACUAAUCACAGUCAAAGGGAAUUCAUUGUAAUUAGAUGCAACUCCGCUCAUCUUGUCAUCAACCAAAACAAGACCAAUUCCUCCCAAACUCUGCACUUCGUACUCCUUGUCAUAAAAGGAGUAUGAAUCGUCAUCAUUGUCACAGAGGACAAUUUUUCCUUUGAUCAUUUCCCCAUCCAUGGAAUCUGGGUUGCAGUUUCUGAAACAAAACAUGUCUUGUGACGUAAGUAUUGGUGCCAAUGCCUAAGAUCCAUGUGAACUAUAUUGUUUUGUCAUCUUCGAUAGAAAAAUAAAAGGCUAUCACAUAAAUAUAGCA